UUGACCUCGGAUCAGGUAGGGAUACCCGCUGAACUUAAGCAUAUCAAUAAGCGGAGGAAAAGAAACCAACAGGGAUUGCCUCAGUAACGGCGAGUGAAGCGGCAAGAGCUCAAAUUUGAAAGCUGGCCCCCUCGGGGUCCGCAUUGUAAUUUGCAGAGGAUGCUUCGGGAGUGGCCCCCAUCUAAGUGCUCUGGAACGGGCCGUCAUAGAGGGUGAGAAUCCCGUAUGGGAUGGGGUGUCCGCGACCAUGUGAAGCUCCUUCAACGAGUCGAGUUGUUUGGGAAUGCAGCUCUAAAUGGGUGGUAAAUUUCAUCUAAAGCUAAAUAUUGGCCGGAGACCGAUAGCGCACAAGUAGAGUGAUCGAAAGAUGAAAAGCACUUUGAAAAGAGAGUUAAAAAGCACGUGAAAUUGUUGAAAGGGAAGCGCUUGCGACCAGACUCGCCUACGGGGUUCAGCCGGUAUUCGUACCGGUGUACUUCCCCGUGGGCGGGCCAGCGUCGGUUUGGGCGGCCGGUCAAAGGCCCUCGGAAUGUAACGCCUCUCGGGGCGUCUUAUAGCCGAGGGUGCCAUGCGGCCAGCCCAGACCGAGGAACGCGCUUCGGCACGGACGCUGGCAUAAUGGUCGUAAGCGACC
rnacentral:rRNA from 2 species